GUGACAAGAAAUAACAAUACAGGACUUUUUGGUUUUGUAAUUGGAAUGAGUUAAGUAUAAACCCCUUUACAAGUAUCAAUUGGAGGGCAAGUCUGGUGCCAGCAGCCGCGGUAAUUCCAGCUCCAAUAGCGUAUAUUAAAGUUGUUGCAGUUAAAAAGCUCGUAGUUGGAUUUCUGUUAAUAAUUUAUAUAAAAUAUUUUGAAUAUUUAUAUAACAUUAACAUAAUUCAUAUUACUAUAUUUUUUAGUAUAUGAAAUUUUACUUUGAGAAAAUUAGAGUGCUUAAAGCAGGCAUAUGCCUUGAAUACUCCAGCAUGGAAUAAUAUUAAAGAUUUUUAUCUUUUUUAUUGGUUCUAAGAUAAGAAUAAUGAUUAAUAGGGACAGUUGGGGGCAUUUGUAUUUAACAGUCAGAGGUGAAAUUCUUAGAUUUGUUAAAGACAAACUAAUGCGAAAGCAUUUGCCA
rnacentral:rRNA from 1 species